rnacentral:rRNA from 1 species
CCAAUAGCGUAUAUUAAAGUUGUUGCAGUUAAAAAGCUCGUAGUUGAAUUUCGGGGUUAGUAGGUUGGUCAUGCCUCUGGUAUGUACUGGUCUCACUGAUUCCUCCUUCCUGAUGAACCUUAAUGCCAUUAAUUUGGUGUUUUGGGGAAUUUGGACUGUUACUUUGAAAAAAUUAGAGUGUUUAAAGCAAGCUAACGCUUGAAUACAUUAGCAUGGAAUACUGAAAUAGGACGUUCGAUCCUAUUUUGUUGGUUUCUAGGAUUGACGUAAUGAUUAAUAGGGAUAGUUGGGGGCAUUAGUAUUCAAUUGUCAGAGGUGAAAUUCUUGGAUUUAUUGAAGACUAACUACUGCGAAAGCAUUUGCCAAGGAUGUUUUCAUUAAUCAAGAACGAAAGUUAGGGGAUCGAAGACGAUCAGAUACCGUCGUAGCCUUAACCAUAAACUAUGCCGACUAGGGAUCGGAUGAUGUUAAUUUUUUAAUGACUCAUUCGGCGCCUUACG